GAUGAACGCUGGCGGCGUGCCUAAUACAUGCAAGUCGAGCGAACAGACGAGGAGCUUGCUCCUCUGACGUUAGCGGCGGACGGGUGAGUAACACGUGGAUAACCUACCUAUAAGACUGGGGUAACUUCGGGAAACCGGAGCUAAUACCGGAUAACAUGUUGAACCGCAUGGUUCAACAGUGAAAGACGGUUUUGCUGUCACUUAUAGAUGGAUCCGCGCCGCAUUAGCUAGUUGGUAAGGUAACGGCUUACCAAGGCAACGAUGCGUAGCCGACCUGAGAGGGUGAUCGGCCACACUGGAACUGAGACACGGUCCAGACUCCUACGGGAGGCAGCAGUAGGGAAUCUUCCGCAAUGGGCGAAAGCCUGACGGAGCAACGCCGCGUGAGUGAAGAAGGUCUUCGGAUCGUAAAACUCUGUUAUUAGGGAAGAACAAAUGUGUAAGUAACUAUGCACGUCUUGACGGUACCUAAUCAGAAAGCCACGGCUAACUACGUG
rnacentral:rRNA from 1 species